CUACUGCGGUGACCUGGAAUAAGCUGAUUAAAUAUGUUCUAUAAAUUGGAGGAUGUCAAAGAGCUAUGUGAUGGCAACAAGAAUUCAAGAUCAUAAAAACAAAAGCCAAAGAUUCUCUCAAGUCUAUCUCCACCAGUAGUCCAGUUCCUGAGGUGAGGAGAAUCUCACGUCUGACUGCCUCUGACUUCACAGUAACAGUGACUCAUUUAUAUUUGAAGUAGAAGAUAAAGCUGCAAUACCAAUCUUCAAGAGAUGGGUGAAUGCCACAGAAAAAUAUGGUUUUACAAAAAGGAUUCAAGAAGCAUUAAGGAUGGUAUUUAGGCAGAUGAACAGCAUUUCUCCUGAGACAUGGGUUGGUCCAGGAAGGAAUUUGUUUUCCCGAUAAUAAGCCCUUGGACAUUUUCCCAGAGUGGAGUACUGCAAGGAACGCUGUGCAGAAUUUAAGGAGAAGCAAACAAAAACCAGGCAACACAUUGUGGC
ensembl:lncRNA